UAAUAUUAUUUAGAUUUUUUGUGAAAAAUGCAAGUUCGGCAACGGUGCUCUCAAAUGUCGCAAUUCACUGUCAAACUUUGUGUUGUCAAAUCUGUCAAACAACUAAACAAAGUUUAAAUCUUCUACGUGUUGAACAUAAGUUUUCAAAUAUGUAGUUGUUAACAGCGUUAUUUUGAUUUUUUCGAGUCCUGCUUACGAAUUAAUUUUAUUUCAAAAUAACAAAAUAAAGGAUAUAGAAGAAAAAUGGCGGUGUAUAACCCACCAUAUACCCCUGAAGAACAAAAAAAGAUAGUCGAGUACAUCAUUGAGCAUGAUGCUUUCCACAUGAUAAAAGGAGAUAGAUUGUGGAAAAAUAUGGAAAAAGAAACAAUUGUGGGACGAACGUGGCAAUCGAUGAAGCAACAUUUCAGAAAAAAAAUUAUCCAUGAAUUACACUAUCCGCGUUAUAAUUUGUCCUUGGAGACAGUGGAGAACUUUUAUAAAUAUUUCAAUAAAAUAGAUAUUACGAGGAAAUAUGCUACCAGAAAAAAGAAAAUGAAUAAACAAAAGGAAUAUCCAAAAUUGACAUUAAUGUUGUCACCCACACGUGAUGACUCGAGUUCAGAUGAAAGUGGUUUAAAUUUAGAUGAAGAAACAAAUCAAAUUAACGUCAGUUCUGAAAACAAAAAAUGGAGUGUACCCUCAAAUACUCCACUUGCGUUAGCGUCCACUUCGUCCUUGCCAAAGUUUACUUUUGAUACAUCAAGUUCGUCUGAUGAACAAGAAGAUAGUGUUAUUUGUAUUGAUUUUGAAGGCCCCGAGUGUAUUAUUAUAGAUUAAACUGGGGUUUGUUAUGUUUCUAUGUAUUCUAUUUUGUUGAUAAUAAAAUGGAAGUCAAUAUGUA